UACGUAGGGUGCGAGCGUUGUCCGGAAUUACUGGGCGUAAAGGGUGCGCAGGCGGUUUUGUAAGCCAGAUGUGAAAUCCCCGGGCUCAACCUGGGAAUGGCAUUUGGGACUGCAAGGCUAGAGUGUGGCAGAGGAGACUGGAAUUCCCGGAUGUAGCAGUGAAAUGCGUAGAUAUCGGGAGGAAUACCGAUGGCGAAGGCAGGUCUCUGGGCUGACACUGACGCUCAUGCACGAAAGCGUGGGGAGCAAACAGG
rnacentral:rRNA from 1 species